ACAUCCAGCAACCCAGAUCCAAUUACAACUCCUUCUUGCACAGUUGCACAUGCACAUGAAAACCACCGGCUUCAAUUCAAGUUCCUUUGAUUUUCAUUCAAUCAGCUCUUAAUGUAGUCUCCUAAUGUGUUAGUAGCCAAUCCUUAACCAUAUAUAAUGAUCUACUCCUACCAAAGCACGAUUCAGGUAAACUAAUAUUUUCAAAGCUUUGAAAUGGAUGCGAGUCAUUUGAUGUAUUUAUAUGGGUGAUUAUGGAACCGUUUUUGUUGUCCAAAGUCACAGGUCCAGAGAAGAAGAAUUUGGAUGUUUAGACAAUCAACAUGCAGCAAUGUUGGGCCAAUCAUGUAGGAAAGGAGAGGCCAGAAGCAGUUAUGGAACAUUUGCUUUUAUACUUGUUAAU